UUGAGAACUCAUUUCAGGAAUAAUAAAUGGAGGAUUUGCCGAUUUGGUGAAACACAUGUAAAUUCACUCCUGGCUGCUUUAAACAUACCCAGCGUUGCUCAAAUAACUCUGAAGAAUAGAAGAAGAGAGGUCAGGCAACAAUUUGGACAAAUGGCAUGGGAAACUUGUAAUAAAAGUCUGCAGGAGGAGAUGAGAUUGAGUGAAGGGAGUCUGGCGGUUAUAUCUGAUGGUGAUUGCCAGAAGCGGGGUACCGGGAGAGCUUAUAAUAGUCUUACAGGACUUGCCUCUCUGUUGGAGAAAAAUCGAAGAAAAUAGUCGGUUUUUCAGUAAUGGGAAAAAAAGUAUGGUAUUUGCAGCUGCCAAAUUAAAGGGUAAUCCUCCCAGGCAACACAAGUGCUGUAAGAACUCAACUGGAUCGGCGAAGGCUAUGGAGCCUCAGCCUGCCAUGGCCUGUGAGAUGUUGGAGAAGAUCAAGAAUCUACGGGGA